GUGACACAGUGACAGAGUUAGGGAGGGAGUGACUAAUGACAGAGAGAGGGAUGGGGUGACUAGUGACAGUCACCCCCUCCCUCCCUCUGUCACUAGUCACUCCCUCCCUCUGUCACCAGUCAUCC
rnacentral:miRNA from 1 species